GGUUUUUAUAAAGUUAUAUCCAUUCGGUUUAUAUGGUAUAUACCAAAACCAAACCAUAUUGUCUAUUUUGAUUCGGUUCGGUUCGGUACGGUUCGGUUUUACCAUAUUGACCAGCCCUAGGAAAUAUAACAAUUAACUUUUAAUUCUCGUUGGAUUAUCAACUUGAUGAUCAAAUCAGGAUCCUUCUACAAAUAUAACAUAUUUUUAACUUUGAUUAUCAAAUCAAAAUCCUUAUAAAAUAUAACAUGCAUUUACAACUUGAUUAUCAACUCAAAAUCUUUAAUACAAUUUAACUAAUAGAUAUUGCUUCUGAAAUAUCUUUAUACAUAAACUAGAUAUUGACCCACGGAUCCGCACAGAUAUCUAUACUAUUAAAGCAGAAUACUUACUAGGAUUCUGCCAUUGGAUUUUCAAGUUAUUUACAAGAGAAUGCCAUUACCUUUUUUGAUUUUUUUUAAAUAUUCUCGCCACUUAUUUCGGCCAAUCAGAUACAAGAUUAAAUAGAAGGGAGCUUCUGAUCAGCGACGAUCAUUUCGGCGAAGAUGAACACGAUUUUACGCCCAAACCUUCUUUGCCUUCCUCUUCUUCUUCUUCCUGACAUCAAUGUGGUUAGAGGUUUUAACUUAUUUCCCCUUCCAUCCUGAAGGUUUUAUAGGUUUCUUCUGCGAUUUAUUGCUCGAUUGCAAAACUUUUCAAAGUAGGUUUUGUUUAGAUUAGCGCUGAACCGUCCCGUAUUUAUUCAAUUUUGGGUUGGGGUUGUAGCUUAAUCUUGACCUGUUCACGAUUUUAAGAAACAAGAUCUGUUUCCCUGAAGACGUAUGAAAUUCUGAGAGUGUGGCUCUGUUUAGUGUCCUUAAACUUGUAGUUUCUUCCUGGAUGCUUUAGUUAUUACCAAUAGACACGAGAAUCUGUUUUUUUUAUUAUCUGCUAUUAAGUUUGAUGGCUUUUCUGACUGAGAAUUUUUUUAUCUUUAGAAUUUACAAGUUGAUCAGAAGCUUGGCAUCAAAGAAGUUAAUGACUGAAUUGUAGGCAACGACUUUUCUCUCUUGGUUAAUGUUAUUGAGUUUGCCCUAUAAUUGUGAUGGAGUGUAACAGGUACUACUCAAUGUACGGAUAUGUGGAGAAACUAUUACAAGAGAUUAGGAAAGUGCUGCUUCUCUUGAUGGUGAUCGAUGCCAAACUCUGGCAGAAUAGGAGUUGAAGUUAAAAACAAGUUCUUAUGUGUGAAUGAAAGAGGGAAUACAUUUCUAUAUUUUUAUUUACUGGUGAAUGUCUUUUAUUUGUCACCAUUUUUAUGCUAUGUGAUAAUCUUUUGAGUGAUUUAACAUUUUUUAUCUCACUGAUGCAUGUUUUCAGCUACCUUAAAUUUAACUUGCAUCCUCUCAAAGAAAUAAGAAGACAUUCAUACUGAAGCAUCGAGCUAAGCUUUUGUUCUUAACAGAAUGACAUGUACCAGAGACGCUCCAAAAAGACGUGCUCUCUAAAUGAGUGGACCGCCAAAGAGUGAUGCUCCUCUUAUCACCCUCAAUGACCUUGCCAAGGCUGAUGGCUUUGUCUUUUGCUUCCCAACAAGGUUUGGUAUGAUGGCUGCCCAGUUCAAGGUAUUCUUAGACAAAAUUGGUGGCCUCUGGAGGAUUCUACAACUUGCUGGUAAGCCAGCCGGAAUCUUCUACAGCACCGGGGCUCAACGUGCUGGUCAAGAACCUCAUCAACACUUGCUUCGGUUUUUACGUUUUGGAGUGUUUACUUGUGUUGUCAUUGAUUUCUAACACAUUUUUUUGUAAUCUUUGUAAGCAGGAUUCAGAACUAUCGAACUAAUUCUAUUUUUAUAAAUCUUGAUCUCAUGCCAGUUAAGCAAACACCUUGAGCCU